CCCCUCUCAGGCUCGCACCUGGAGAAUUUCCAGUACUCUACCAGUCUUGACUACAGGAGGGAGAGUCAAGCGGAGGCUUACUCAUUCCAUUCCUAGCUCGGGCAGUGGCUAGUGAGUGGAAGGCAAUCUGCUACACGU